rnacentral:rRNA from 1 species
GACAGAGGCCCCGAGCGUUAGGCGGAAUCACUGGGCUUAAAGCGUGUGUAGGCGGGCCCGUAAGUGUCUUGUGAAAUCCCACGGCUCAACCGUGGAACUGCUGGGCAUACUGCGGGUCUUGGGCCAACUAGGGGCAGCCGGAACAAUCGGUGGAGCGGUGAAAUGCGUAGAUAUCGCUUGGAACGCCGAAGGUGAAAACAGGCUGCUGGGGUUGCGCCGACGCUGAGACACGAAAGCCAGGGGAGCAAACGGG